GUGUGUUUCUCUCCCUGCUGCAUGACUGCUCAUCAUAUCCAUAUUACUCUAUUCUUCAGAAGCUUAAGUAAGAAAGAUUUCUUCCACUCUGAAUUAAAAGAUUUCAUUUUCAUCAUGACUCCUCCUCCUCCUUACAGUAUGAGACGUUUUUGUCUCCUCUUGCUUAACCCUGAUUCUAACGCGAGCUCUGGAUAUUUCCACACACUUCUUUUUUGUUAGCUUUUAGGAAACUAGUGAGAUCUAAAAAUGAUCAUUAUUCACUGAACUAUAUCAGAGGUAUUUUCUGUAUUUUUACAGGAUUUUUAGAGACUGGAGCACCUUUAUCUUCAUCCUCGAUCGUUUUAUCAUUUAUGAUGUUGUAUCAAGUUUGUCUAUUGUCUGAGUUGUUUGUUGUUAAAAUACUUUUGUUUUACUGUAACCAAAUGUACCUAUGGGUACAAAGAAUGUAACUUAACCUAACUCAUAAAUAUACUACAGCAAAAUCAGUUUCUAUAGUUGAAAGCAUUUGUAUGAUUAGUCAGAUAGUUUAUUACCCACUCGAGUUAAUGAGGGAGAUAGAGGAGUUAUUCUGUUUUAUCUUUGUUUUGCAGUUCAGACAUGUAUUCUACAAUCCUGCUGAUUUUACUUCUAUCUGCUCCUUUCCAGAAACCAAACAUUGAGAUAAACCAAACAGAGAUGACAGCAACCUGCAGCACAAAUGGAGGAUACCCUAAACCUGAACUCAAAUGGAGCGGGGAUGGAGGGACUAAACUGGAACCACAAAAAACCACAAUGACUCGUGAAGCAGACCUCACCUACAACAUCAGCAGCAGAGUCAACAUCACUGGGUUACAGAAAGUGACCUGCACAGUUUACAACCCAACUUCAAACCAGACUCUGACUGCAACUAAAGAUGUGUCUCCAGGUGCUUCAAUGUUUACUUUUCAUUUUUUAAUGUGUGAUGAUCGUUUCAUCUGCCUGCCAUCUACUUACUGUGCUGUGUCUGUAAAAUAGACAUGAAGUCAAAUAGAAAGGGCUGCUGAAGUUUUAACUUAUUUUGAGGCCCAUUUAUAAAGAAGUUCUCUGUGUCAAAAUCAAGUUUUAAUGCUUUUAAUAUUUCAAUUGAUAUAUUUAUAGUGCAGAUUUCUGUGGGAUGGUAUCACUGACAUAAAGUAGUAUGCUUGCAUAUUCAACAAUAAUGUUAAGACUAAGCAUAAUGUGGUUCAAAGUUUCUCUUUUUAUUGUUUUCUGUUUAUCUAAUAAAUCAGUGACUGAAGAUUUGUGGAGCUGAAAGAAUUCAG
rnacentral:lncRNA from 15 species